rnacentral:rRNA from 1 species
AGCGAACGCUGGCGGCAGGCUUAACACAUGCAAGUCGAGCGGGCACCUUUCGGGGUGUCAGCGGCGGACGGGUGAGUAACGCGUGGGAACGUGCCCUCUGGUUCGGAAUAACUCAGGGAAACUUGAGCUAAUACCGGAUACGCCCUUUUGGGGAAAGGCUUGCUGCCGGAGGAUCGGCCCGCGUCUGAUUAGCUAGUUGGUGAGGUAACGGCUCACCAAGGCGACGAUCAGUAGCUGGUCUGAGAGGAUGAUCAGCCACACUGGGACUGAGACACGGCCCAGACUCCUACGGGAGGCAGCAGUGGGGAAUAUUGGACAAUGGGCGCAAGCCUGAUCCAGCCAUGCCGCGUGAGUGAUGAAGGCCUUAGGGUUGAAAAGCUCUUUUAUCCGGGACGAUAAUGACGGUACCGGAGGAAUAAGCCCCGGCUAACUUCGUG